GGAGAUUUACCUCAGUGGUACAGUACCUGCCUGGCAAGCAUGAGGUCCUGAGUUCGAUUCCCAGUACCCCA
rnacentral:tRNA from 1 species